rnacentral:rRNA from 1 species
GACGUAGGGCGCGAGCGUUGUCCGGAUUUAUUGGGCGUAAAGAGCUCGUAGGCGGCUCAUCGCGUCUGCCGUGAAAACCUGUGGCUCAACUACAGGCUUGCGGUUGAUACGGGUGGGCUGGAGUUCGGUAGGGGAGACUGGAAUUCCUGGUGUAGCGGUGAAAUGCGCAGAUAUCAGGAGGAACACCGGUGGCGAAGGCGGGUCUCUGGGCCGAUACUGACGCUGAGGAGCGAAAGCGUGGGGAGCGAACAGGA